rnacentral:rRNA from 1 species
UACGUAGGGUGCAAGCGUUGUUCGGAAUUACUGGGCGUAAAGGGCGCGUAGGCGGGCCCGUAUGUCGAUUGUGAAAGCCCUGGGCUCAACCCGGGAAUGGCAGUCGAAACUGCGGGUCUUGAGUGCCUGAGAGGAUGGCGGAAUUCCCGGUGUAGAAGUGAAAUUCGUAGAUAUCGGGAAGAACACCUGAGGCGAAGGCGGCUAUCUGGCGGUGCACUGACGCUGAGGCGCGAAAGCGUGGGGAGCAAACAGG